rnacentral:rRNA from 1 species
UCCUACGGGUGGCUGCAGUAGGGAAUAUUGGUUAAUGGGCGAAAGCCUGACCCAGCAACGCCGCGUGCGCGAUGAAGGCCUUCGGGUUGUAAAGCGCUUUUAAGUGGGAUGAGGAAGGACAGUACCACUAGAAUAAGUCUCGGCUAACUACGUGCCAGCAGCCGCGGUCACACGUAGGAGACGAGCGUUAUCCGGAUUUACUGGGUGUAAAGCGCGUGCAGGCGGUAUGGAAAGUUGGAUGUGAAAGCUCCCGGCUUAACUGGGAGAGGUCGUUCAAAACUACCAAACUAGAGUACAGCAGAGGGGAGUGGAAUUCCGAGUGUAGCGGUAAAAUGCAUAGAUAUUCGGAAGAACACCAGUGGCGAAGGCGGCUCCCUGGGCUGAAACUGACGCUCAGACGCGAAAGCUAGGGUAGCGAACGGGAUUAGAUACCCCAGUAGUCUA